rnacentral:rRNA from 1 species
GACGAACGCUGGCGGCGUGCUUAACACAUGCAAGUCGAACGGAAAGGCCCUGCUUUUGUGGGGUGCUCGAGUGGCGAACGGGUGAGUAACACGUGAGUAACCUGCCCUUGACUUUGGGAUAACUUCAGGAAACUGGGGCUAAUACCGGAUAGGAGCUCCUGCUGCAUGGUGGGGGUGGGAAAGUUUCGGCGGUUGGGGAUGGACUCGCGGCUUAUCAGCUUGUUGGUGGGGUAGUGGCUUACCAAGGCUUUGACGGAUAGCCGGCCUGAGAGGGUGACCGGCCACAUUGGGACUGAGAUACGGCCCAGACUCCUACGGGAGGCAGCAGUGGGGAAUAUUGCACAAUGGGCGGAAGCCUGAUGCAGCAACGCCGCGUGCGGGAUGACGGCCUUCGGGUUGUAAACCGCUUUCGCCUGUGACGAAGCGUGAGUGACGGUAAUGGGUAAAGAAGCACCGGCUAACUACGUG